rnacentral:rRNA from 1 species
GACGAACGCUGGCGGCGUGCUUAACACAUGCAAGUCGAACGGUAAGGCCCCAGCUUGCUGGGGUACACGAGUGGCGAACGGGUGAGUAAAAGGGGGGUGACUGGCCCGGAAUUCGGGGUAAGGCUGGGAAACUGGGUCUAAUUACGGAUAAGGCCGGAACGUGGGGGGGGGGGUGGAAGUUUUUCGGUGUGGGAUGGGCCCGCGGCCUAUCAGCUUGUUGGUGGGGGAAUGGCCUACCAAGGCGGCGACGGGUAGCCGGCCUGAGAGGGUGGACGGCCACAUUGGGACUGAGACACGGCCCAGACUCCUACGGGAGGCAGCAGUGGGGAAUAUUGCACAAUGGGCGGAAGCCUGAUGCAGCGACGCCGCGUGGGGGAUGACGGCCUUCGGGUUGUAAACUCCUUUCACCAUCGACGAAGGUUUUCUGACGGUAGAUGGAGAAGAAGCACCGGCUAACUACGUG